AAGAAGGUUUUGGAAAGACACAAGCUUGUUGUGCUUGACUUCAAUAAUUUGGAAAUACUGUGCUAACGCGUGACGCUGGGAACCUGUCAGGGGGAGCUGGUUUUACACCUAUUCUGGUCUACUGUUCUACAAUUCCUCCGUCUGUUACUACUACCACUACUUCAAAACAUCAACACCACUGACGUCACGGAAAAAGACAAGACGAGGGGAAUCCUGUGUCCGUGUACAGUCCUUCAGUGUGGAAACCCAGUGCUUACAUACACUUGACAGUGGAACAACUUCUACAGUGAAUAACCGCCAGAGUGGAAAACCGAUGCACCAUUGGAAACCGCCGACUGCCAAUGCAUCACCGCUGCACCAAUGGGUCGCAGUGGACCACCGUCUAAAGAGUGCAUCACGUCGCUGACCAGUGAACAGCCUUCUGCUGCCAGUGACCAAGACUCAGACUCCACUCACACCACAACCCAACAGAGAGAAGACACUUCACCUGGGGGCCUGUAGGAUAAAGCUUGAACAAAAGAGGGGAAAAAAACAAGCUCAAGGAAAAAAAACAGGCCAAAAAAAUCUUCUGCCUCCCACUUAAAAAAAAAAAGAAAAAAAAACCUGGAAAAAAGGUUCAGAAGGUUCUGCCUCCCCCUUCAUAUCCUCUCUUGACAUUUAGGAUCCUUUUAGCCGCUCUCCAUGUCUAGAAACUGUCCCGAUCAGCUGCCUUGGACUGCUGAAGUGCCUUUCGUCCAAUAGAUCUUGGAUUGCUGCUACUGUGGGUGGGGGAGUUCUGGACUUGGACUGUGCGUUGUCCCUGACUGCAAUUGGGUGUUGUGCCUUCAGUCGACUUCGAGUAUGAGUACUGUAGUGAAUGUUUUCCUCUGCAUUCUAGUGACACUGUCUCUUGCUUGUAACGCAGGGUCUUUUACUGGCUUUGUUGACCACUGAAGGAACUGUGCACCGUUGUGCUUUCAAAAAGGUCUUCGGGACUAGCCUGAUGAUGUCUGCAAUGUUCAGAGAACCUGGAUCACCAAUGUCAGUCAGUAGAGUAGAGGAGAGUAGAGUAGAGAAGAGUAGUAGAGGCUUGGCUUAAGUUAGUGGUUCUGGGCGGCGGAGGCAUUGUCAUGCGCAGGGCCUGUCCUGAUGCCUGGCUGGAGGUUCCCGCGGUGCGGUCCGGUCCACAGUUCCUUCGACUACCUUGGGGUGGGUCCACCAGGUCAGUGGAAUGCCUUGCUGCGCAGGUGGGAGGUGGUCUCGCUGUGCGGAGGAGGGCAUUCACUGCAGUGCUCGUCCGGGCUCAGCGGGGGGCAAGGCACCCGGUUGCAGUCUGGGGCGGCGCGUGGGCCAGCUCCGGGCUCCACUGCCAACAGUGGCAGCGGUCCAAGAACUGUUGAACGAAGGGUGCUUCGGUCGUCUGGGAAGGCUGGUUGGGGUAGUUUCAUGGACAUGGAAACCGGCUGAGGGAUUCCUGAGUGUCGGGAGGGGAAUGGGGGCAGUGCCACGACUGGCCUCAGAGGGGAGGUGGGACAACCAGGACCUCACAGACCCACAGACAGGGUUGGAUGCAGCAGCGUACGCAUGUACACCAGACCUCAGAAGGGAGGUGGGACAGCCAUGAUCUCCUGGAUGCACAGGAGAGAGGGGACUUCAGGACUUCGUCGGGAGUGCAACACUGGACCACAGGAGCCAGGCGAAUCACCAGGCCCUGCAG